CACACACACUUAUCUCUGCCAGCUGGGAGUCAGCACAAUCACUCCAGCUGCUUACCUGGAUCAGCUGGUUCUCAGCACCUGCCACUGAGCUUCUCCUUAGGCCAGAGCUUGCUGCUCAGACAGUUAAAGGGGCAGACCACUAUUACAGUGCCCCACUGAAAUCACUGGGCUCCAUGCAAGUGUAACCCACACUCGCUCUGUACGGCACUCUGGCCUUAGAGGCUGGGCCACACAUAAAAGUUGAUGAGCUUGCUACAGCAGUAUAUUAACAAAGAGGUGUUUUAGCUCAGGCAGUAGUUCCUUAUGCUUUUACAUCCAAGGUGACAAGCCCUGCUGCUGAUGACCCACAUGUGGUGUGGUGUGGGGUGUGGUGUUACACGAGCACAGGAGUGCACCUGCAUGAAGCUCAUUGCAGGACUAAGGCCUACAUUUUUACCCCAAACCUGUUACCAUGGUAGCUGAUCACCUCAGUUCAGUACCAGCCAUCAGUGGGGGCAUCACAAAAUGAUGACAUUCAUGUUUCUAACUACUUGAUGGGUGGGGACACCGAGGCAGGUAUCUGCUUUCUGACAGUUGCAUUUCCAGUUGGCUGAGAAUAUAAAAUGAGCAGCUUUCCUAAAAACAGCCAAAUAAAUCUGUUUCCAUCUACAAAUCUCUCUGAUCUGCAUAGUAUCAUAUUAGUGUCAGCAAAGAUCCACAGCCCUCAAGAGACAAUUGACACUGGACACAGUGGCUUCUCAAGUGUGGAUCAUUUUCUAUUAGUGAGUCACUGGGACAGCGGGAGCAGAGUGUUGUACAAUAAAAUUGCCACAGCAGCCGGGGAUGGAUUAACACUAAAUCGGACCUGGAUCAGCCACAAGCGCAUGGUAUCAAAAUGACUCACUUGUUUCUGGGAGGUUCAGGUCAGUCUCUACAGAAAUUCUGGGGUCUCUUUUGGCUCCUAGGACUCAGCUCAGCCCAUCUGCUUGAUCCUUCUUAAUCUGCUACCGACUACAUUGCCGUAGAAAUGUCAUGCAAAGUUCAGCCCUGCAGGCAGAUGGCGUGUAAAAGAAAAGCAGUGAUCAGCCUGACAUGUUGCAGGAUUUCUGAUUUUCAUGGGAGACCCCAGGAAACUGCUGUCAGCGGAAUGAGAAAGUGAAGUGAAUCCAGAAGAUUGUUGAAAGAGAGGGUAAAAAGCCUAGGAACACUUGAGCAAUUUAGCCUGCUCUGAUACUCUGCAUCUCCAAGAGAAAGAUGUGAUGUCUGGGUUCCCCUCCCAUGGCGUUAUACACUGCACUAAUUCACACAACUGACGAAUAUCUAAACAGGCACAAUUACAGCCCAUUAUAUGGGGAAUAUUUACAUAGUCAUAUUGACCUGAGGCUUUGCUUGUCAUUUGCAAUAUUGAUAAUAAUUUGCAUUUCUAUAGCAUUGUUCAUCCCCCCCCAAAGAUCCUAAAUAAUAUUACAGAAGUCCUACUAAACAGAAAUCACUUCUCUCACCAUUAAACAAACAAACACAGCUGCCAUGUUUUGGGGCAGAAAGUUGCAGAUGUUGAACAGCAAGGUGUAGGACAGCAAGUGAAAGAUACUAUAUCCAA